rnacentral:rRNA from 1 species
GCGAAACGCCGGGCCAGGUGCGGGGUGAGUACGGGGGGGGCUAGGGUGGUUCGGAAGUGCUGGGCGUAAAGGGGACGUAGGCGGACCGGCAAGUUGGGGGUGAAGUCCCGGGGCUCAACCCCGGAACUGCCUCCAAAACUGCAGGUCUGGAGUCCGGGAGAGGCGAGUGGAAUUCCGAGUGUAGAGGUGAAAUUCGUAGAUAUUCGGAGGAACACCAGUGGCGAAGGCGGCUCGCUGGUCCGGUACUGACGCUGAGGUGCGAAAGCGUGGGGAGCAAACAGGAUUAGAUACCCGGUAGUC